UACGUAGGGGGCAAGGCGUUGUCCGGAAUCAUUGGGCGUAAAGCGCGCGUAGGCGGCCCUGUAAGUCCGUUGUGAAAGUCAAAGGCUCAACCUUUGAAAGCCGAUGGAUACUGCAGGGCUAGAGUCCGGAAGAGGCGAGUGGAAUUCCUGGUGUAGCGGUGGAAUGCGCAGAUAUCAGGAGGAACACCAAUAGCGAAGGCAGCUCGCUGGGACGGUACUGACGCUAAGGCGCGAAAGCGUGGGGAGCGAACAGG
rnacentral:rRNA from 1 species